rnacentral:rRNA from 1 species
UACGGAGGGGACUAGCGUUGUUCGGAAUUACUGGGCGUAAAGCGCGCGUAGGCGGAUUUGUAAGUCAGGGGUGAAAUCCCGAGGCUCAACCUCGGAACUGCCUUUGAUACUGCAAAUCUCGAGUCCGGAAGAGGUGAGUGGAAUUCCUAGUGUAGAGGUGAAAUUCGUAGAUAUUAGGAAGAACACCAGUGGCGAAGGCGGCUCACUGGUCCGGUACUGACGCUGAGGUGCGAAAGCGUGGGGAGCAAACAGG